CAGUAAACCAGAUGCUCCGCAGGGCGUAGCUUUAUACGACCGCAGAGGUUGAACCCUGAACGGUUGGGGCAAGUAUGGACACAACAUUCAAGCUGGAUUCAGCUCUAAAUUUGGAUUGUGAUUAAAUAGUUGACACAGCAUAGGUUUCUGACACAGAAUGAAUGUGUUCUAAUGAACUUAAAAUUUUUGUUUUCUCUUAGAGCAAUUCACUAUGCUGUUGAAUAUUAAUCCUCUCAAA
rnacentral:lncRNA from 1 species